rnacentral:ncRNA from 20 species
GCCGGUGCGAAUCCGGCGCUGACCCGCAGCCGUGUACCGGUCCUCCUGGGCCGGUGAGCCGGA